rnacentral:rRNA from 1 species
AUGAACGCUGGCGGCGUGCCUAAUACAUGCAAGUCGAGCGCACAGACGAGGAGCUUGCUCCUCUGACGUUAGCGGCGGACGGGUGAGUAACACGUGGAUAACCUACCUAUAAGACUGGGAUAACUUCGGGAAACCGGAGCUAAUACCGGAUAAUAUAUUGAACCGCAUAGUUCAAUAGUGAAAGACGGUUUUGCUGUCACUUAUAGAUGGAUCCGCGCCGCAUUAGCUAGUUGGUAAGGUAACGGCUUACCAAGGCAACGAUGCGUAGCCGACCUGAGAGGGUGAUCGGCCACACUGGAACUGAGACACGGUCCAGACUCCUACGGGAGGCAGCAGUAGGGAAUCUUCCGCAAUGGGCGAAAGCCUGACGGAGCAACGCCGCGUGAGUGAUGAAGGUCUUCGGAUCGUAAAACUCUGUUAUUAGGGAAGAACAAAUGUGUAAGUAACUAUGCACGUCUUGACGGUACCUAAUCAGAAAGCCACGGCUAACUACGUG